rnacentral:misc_RNA from 1 species
AACGGUCUAUACCUGCGGUACCUGCGGAGGGAUCAUUAAUGAACUUGUCUCUCUCACUUUGGUUAACUGUUGCGCCUCUGGCUGCACGUUGCCUAGUGGAGGACUAAUUCCCAUUAACCCCUUGUGCAUUCUGGGAGGCUUAGCCUCUUCACAUAUACCCUAAUAAAUGUACAUGUCUUAUGUUUAAUUCAUAAUUGUUAAACAACUUUUAGCAACGGAUCUCUAGAUCGGAAGAGCACA